rnacentral:rRNA from 1 species
AGAGUUUGAUCCUGGCUCAGAACGAACGCUGGCGGCGUGCUUAACACAUGCAAGUCGAGUGCGCGUGCCGUAGCAAUACGGUAUGGCGCACGGCGCACGGGUGCGUAACACGUGGGCAAUUUGCCCUCCGGUGGGGAAUAACCCCGCGAAAGCGGGGCUAAUUCCGCAUAACACUCCCUGGACUCAGGUUCGGGGAUUCAAAGCAGUGAUGCGCCGGAGGAGGAGCCCGCGCCCGAUUAGCUAGUUGGUGAGGUAACGGCUCACCAAGGCAAUGAUCGGUAGCUGGUCUGAGAGGAUGGCCAGCCACACUGGAACUGAGACACGGUCCAGACUCCUACGGGAGGCAGCAGUGGGGAAUCUUGCGCAAUGGGCGAAAGCCUGACGCAGCGACGCCGCGUGGGGGAUGAAGCUUUUCGGAGUGUAAACCCCUUUCGACCGGGACGAAUGCCCGCAAGGGAGUGACGGUACCGGUAGAAGAAGCCCCGGCUAACUAC